rnacentral:misc_RNA from 1 species
GUGAAUCAUCAAAUCUUUGAACGCAAAUUGCACUCCCUGGUAUUCCGGGGAGUAUGCCUGUUUGAGGGUCGUUAGAAUAAAAAAUCGAGGUGUUGCUCUUUUUUUUAAGGGUGAUCGAGUCGGAAUUGAGCAGUUUUUGAAAUGUUAAUUCAUGGCAAAGUGGCGUGAAAUUUAUCGAUCUGGUAAGUUUAAAGGGUUUUUAAGAUUAAUUUCGAUUAAGAACGCGGGAUGACGUACA